UCGGGAAUUUUGGGCAAUGGGCGCAAGCCUGAUCCAGCCAUACCGCGUGAGUGAAGAAGGCCUUCGGGUUGUAAAGCUCUUUCAGACGGAAAGAAACGGUUACGGCUAAUACCCGUGACUAAUGACGGUACCGUAAGAAGAAGCACCGGCUAACUACGUGCCAGCAGCCGCGGUAAUACGUAGGGUGCGAGCGUUAAUCGGAAUUACUGGGCGUAAAGCGUGCGCAGGCGGUUUGGUAAGACAGAUGUGAAAUCCCCGGGCUUAACCUGGGAACUGCAUUUGUGACUGCCAGACUAGAGUGUAGCAGAGGGGGGUAGAAUUCCACGUGUAGCAGUGAAAUGCGUAGAUAUGUGGAGGAAUACCGAUGGCGAAGGCAGCCCCCUGGGCUAACACUGACGCUCAUGCACGAAAGCGUGGGGAG
rnacentral:rRNA from 1 species